UACGAAGGGGGCGAGCGUUAUUCGGAAUCACUGGGCGUAAAGCGUGCGUAGGCGGUGGUGAAAGUUAGAAGUGAAAGCCCAGGGCUUAACCCUGGAAUUGCUUUUAAAACUACACCACUCGAAUUUGGGAGAGGAUAGCGGAAUUGUCAGUGUAGCAGUGAAAUGCGUAGAUAUUGACAGGAACACCAGUGGCGUAAGCGGCUAUCUGGACCAACAUUGACGCUGAGGCACGAAAGCGUGGGGAUCAAACAGG
rnacentral:rRNA from 1 species